rnacentral:misc_RNA from 1 species
UCUCCGUAGGUGAACCUGCGGAGGGAUCAUUACAGGGUUCUCGCCCUCACGGGUAGAUCUCCCACCCACUGUUAUCGUUACUGUCGUUUCUUUGGCGGGCCGCCGGGUCCCCGGCCGCCGGCGCCUAGCUGCCGGCGCGCGCCCGCCAGAGGCCUUCAAACUCUGAAUGUUAGUGUCGUCUGAGUACUAUAUAAUAGUUAAAACUUUCAACAACGGAUCUCUUGGUUCUG